rnacentral:lncRNA from 1 species
CAAAUUGUUGAUACAUUUAUGUCGCCAUAACGAUCUCAUUUUGAGAGAACUAAGAAAUCGAUCUAAAGGUUCUAAAGGUGUAAUGUGAAGUGAGAUUUUGGCAAUCAAUUCCUGAUUGGCUAAUGCCAGAGGUCUUUGUUAUGUUGUGAGUUAUUGAUACUUGCAUCUGUUGCCAUAUGUGUACAAUCACAGUGAUGCUAGAUUGUAUAUGCACAUUAGCAUGAUUACACAAAAAUUCAUUUGAAUUAUUUUCUUGUUAAUCAUGUCAAAUGGAGGGAAUGUGAAUGCUAAGGGGUUUCUGCAACAAAAGGAUUUAUCAGGCUAAUAAGACCUUAAUGAAAUGGUACAUAUGGGAUGCUCUACUGAUGUCCUGAUAUAGAGCUGUUGUCUGCUGAUGAUAUGUUUUUGAAAAAGAUAUGCAGAAUUGCUGAAUGUCACUGAGGUGAAAUGGUGAAGUCCUCUCAAGUGCAGAACUAUAUGCGAAUUCUAUUCGUCAGUUUUGGUUUUGGAAACAUGUAAGUUAGUCACAGAAGGAUAUGGCAGAAACACCUUCGGUGCAAGUGAUGUUGGAUUGAUUCAUCAAUGGGCUUGAAGGUAUGCAACUCAGUGAGGUAUCUGAUUGUGCAUGAAGCAUGUAUAACAAUAGCAAUUUGCGUUUUCUUUCCCUAUUUUUAACUCUGUACAACUCAAAUGACAUGGAUAUUUAUUUUAUAUCCUUUGCCGGCACUAUUGGCAGCUAAGAAUUCUGCUAUCAUUUUCAACUUCAUGGUACUUUAAUAUCUGUAAGUUGAUUGACUGCAGAAAUUAUAUCAGGCCACAGAAAUUUUAUUCAGCUCCUAAAUGAACGUGUCUCAUGAGCAUACCCCUGGCAUUAAGAAUCUCUGCUGAAACCCAGAAGAUGUCUGUUGAAAUAUUAAAGCACAAGGAAGGAAGGCUGUCCAAGAAUCAAAGCUGUCAAAGUGGUUUGUAUUUUGCUUUGCUAUUUUGUUGUACUAAACAAGAAGUUUAGGAAAGAAAAGUUGGAUGUGUAAUUUGACGAUUGCUUAAUAUAGAGCAGUAGUAAAAC